rnacentral:rRNA from 1 species
UACGACGGGGGCUAGCGUUGUUCGGAAUUACUGGGCGUAAAGCGCGCGCAGGCGGCCAUCCAAGUCAGUGGUGAAAGCCCGGAGCUCAACUCCGGAACUGCCAUUGAAUCUGGUUGGCUAGAGUACGAGAGAGGUGAGUGGAAUUCCAAGUGUAGAGGUGAAAUGCGUAGAUAUUGGGAAGAACACCGGUGGCGAAGGCGGCUCACUGGCUCGUUACUGACUCUCAGGCGCGACAGCGUGGGGAUCAAACAGG